UACCAGAAAGCUUUUAAAAGCAUUAGAUUUUUAAUCUAAAGAUGAUAUAAUUAUCUCUGGUAG
rnacentral:tRNA from 1 species